AGUCUUGUGGUCUAGUGGCUAUGAUUUUCGUCUCACAUCAGUGGGAUUCCUGCUAAGUGCUUCACGAAAGGUCCCGAGUUCGAACCUCGGCGGGACUA